AUAGUACGGCUGAUAGUACGGCGGAUACUACGGCUGAUACUACGGCUGAUACUACGGCUGAUAGUAUGGUUG